UGGCAGCGGGGACCUCUGCUUUUUCCCCUACGCGAGGCUACAACUCGCCACCUAGUUCUCGGCCACACUACC
rnacentral:tRNA from 1 species